GAUGAAGAACGUAGCGAAAUGCGAUAAGUAAUGUGAAUUGCAGAACUCAGUGAAUCAUCGAAUCUUUGAACGCACAUUGCGCCUUCUGGUAUUCCGGAAGGCAUGCCUGUUCGAGAGUCAUUAACAACCGUUUCGAUCCCUUUCUUUCAGAAAUUACAAAGAGGAAAAGGGUUUGGUUAUGGUGGAGGAGGGAAAGGGAGCGUUUAGCCUGUAAAAAAAGAGGCUGUGUUCCGCCUCCCCCCCAAAAUUGUACAGGCGGUCGUGUGCGCCCACGCAUCGAGGUGUUGUAAAAGCUGCCACGGCACUUUUCACCUGUGCAGUGCGAGAUUGGCCAGCCGGUUUAAAAACCCCUCCAAACAAUCAAAGGUUGACCUCGGAUCAGGUAGGGAUACCCGCUGAACUUAAGCAUAUCAAUAAGCGGAGGA
rnacentral:misc_RNA from 1 species